AACAUUUAUGUUUCAAUCACCGAGACACCCUGAUUGGUUUACAAAAUGACAGAUGCAUGUCCAAUGAUUCAUUGUUUGCUCCAUUACACAAAAUGCCCAGUUGACAAGACACCAUAUAGGUUUACCAAAUGAUAAAAGACACAAUGUUUUUCUCCAUUACACAAAAUGCCUAGCUAACAAAAACUGCCAUCUUCAUGGUUACUUCCUGGUCCUCAUGUAUGUCAUUCCUACAAAGGAUAAAAGGGUCGCCGGUGAAUUCAUGCAUUCAUUGAGAUAAUGGAAUAAAUAAUAAUUGUAUAAAGCACCAAUGGCAAAAACAAACUGGGAUUUUAGCAUUAUAAAAACAUGGCAUGUUCUAAUUAGAAUCUGUGACGGAUUAGACAUAAUAAAGCAUCAAUGCCACACCGACCAACCAUAUAGCCUGUAUCAAUCUCCUCAAGUCGCAGACCAAGAAGUAUAUUAAAUGGAAAAGGAGCAUAUGCAUCAUCUGGCCACAAGGCAACAAUUUAGAAUGUCCAGACACCCAAUUAUUGGGAGCAACACAUCCACCAACGGACAGAUGAAAGUCAUUUUUGAAGAAAAGACUGCACUAGUUAUCUUUCUUUUUCUUAUCUCGGGUGGAAAGACCACACUUUGCUGCACUAGACGGCAAUACAUUAGGCAAAAUGAUUACUAUCUAAUACACAGCUAGAAGUUUCAAUGAUGAGUGCAGCAUGGCCUGGGAAAAGCAUUCUCAAAAACCCACGUACAUCAGGAGGUUAUGCAUACUUUCCCUAUGUUAGAAAUGAAUUUCAAGGAGAAGAAUCUAUCCGCAAUCAUUUCUAAAUGCAGUACUAAGCACAUGAGGACCUGCAAAAUACCAAACAAAAAGUAUCUGAACUUACACUGCACCUGACUAUUAUAUUCCUAAAAAUAUCGGAGAAAAGCAUCUGUACUUCAGUGCCACAAAUUAGAUUAAAUUGAUGACCAUCCUCUGAUCUCACUGCACUAAGUUGUGGCAAUUGCGGGACAGAUGUGGG
rnacentral:lncRNA from 1 species